rnacentral:lncRNA from 10 species
GACAUGAGCACAGUUCACUGUAGCAUUGACCUCCCAGGCUCAAGCGAUCCUCCCACCUCAGCCCCCCAUCCCUGUGGGGGUGUCAGUGAUGCUUGGACUCCACUAACUGCACCAUUGUCCUACUCCAUCUCCUUUGAGCCUGCUGUCAACCUCUGCACACAUGGCCUCAGCCCCUAGCCCUGGAUGACCACCAUUAGACCCAGCAGAACGGCAGCAGUGGUUUGCUGGCCCAGCACCUAGAGCUGCAGAAUAUGCUCCCUUGACCCUCAGGGAAAGAUGCAGAGCUAGUGAGACUUACUCUCCUCCACCACCAAAGUGAAGGACAUUUGUCAUUGGAUUUAGGGCCCACCCAGAAUCCAGGAGGGGCUCAUCUUCAGAUCCUUAAUGACAUCUACAAAGACCCUUUAUCUAAAUAGGUCAGAUUCACAGGUCCCGGCGGUUAGGACAUGGACAUACGUUUUUGAGGGCGCCAUUCAACCCGCAACGGGAGCCAUCACAUUCUCAUUUCUCCUUCCUUAAUGUUCUCACGGGCCCAGCACACAGGCCAGGAUGGAGCAUUCUUUGAGGUGUUCCUGGGAGCCCAGCAACAGACUGGGUGUUCAGUGUGCCCCUGUCGGUCUCCACGUGGGCCCUGCAAGAAGGAGCCACCCCCGUUUUACGGGGGGUUCAGGGCUUGUGGCCAGAUGUGCAGCUAGGCCUGGAUCAGGCUCCCGUCCGGCCCCAGUGCGUCUGCCGUGCCCGUGACCCCAGGCUGUGUCUCUCAGAAUCCGCCAAGAUUCCAGGGCAGGUAACUGCAGAGCUCCCCCGAGUCCUGUGCACGCCUCGGCUCACACUGCAGCUCAGCAGCAGCAACGCGGGUGACAGAAACCAGCUCUGUGUCUGUGAGCCUCUGCCUCACCUUCUGGGGGAUGGCACAGUAUUGCUCCAAGACAUGCAAACAGCUGCGGGCAGCAGAGACAGUGAGGCAACCCUGCCACACUCUCCAACCAUGCCCUCCUCAGGCAUGCGGAGAAAGCACCCCUUCAUCUGUGCAAGGAAUCCUCAAGCAGCAGACAAAAUUCAUGCACUGUUAAUUCAGAUGUUACAGUCACAUCCAGUGCUAAGGGCUGUCCUUUGAAAACAGCUGAGGUAGACACAUCUUCCAAGAACAAAUCAUAGAAAUGUUACCAGGCGAUUGUCUUCACAACCUCUGCAUCAGUGAUGGGGACUUGGGGGUAAGCUUUUGGUUGGCGUUGUGAACAGUGCCAGCUCCCUAAAGCAAGCUUGCUUUUCUGUUGUUUGAAAUACUGCAGGAGAACUGAAAUUCUCUUAAAAUAUACCGGUUUCUGGUUCAAGAGAAAUACUUUUUUGCACCAAUUUAAUUCAGGUUUCUAAAGCCGAGGCAGGGAUGGCAUCACAGUCUGUUGAAUGAAUUCCAGCUCAUUUGGGGCCUUUCCAUGACAAAUCAUUCCUAAUGGAAUCUCUCCAAAGCACAGGGGAAAAAAUCGAAGGCAUCAAAGUGCCCUUUCCAUUUCAAUAAACUCCACUGGCCAGGAUUCUGUUUGCAUAACACAGAAUAAACAUGGAACCCAGGCCUGCCCAGCACAUUUACUCCCUGGUUAGCACCUCUGUUCACCUGUUUUCUCUUUUAUAUGAGUGACCAUUUCCUAAAACGCAAUCAAUCAAUCACUGUCAAGUAAGAUCUUGAAAUUAUCACCAUGGAGAAAAGACAUGAAGAGUCUGCAUUAAGGUAACGUGACCGGUGCCUAGAGUGAGGAAGGAGCACGUUCAGAAUGGUCCCGGGUCAUUUUCAAGACCUUCCCCCCGUCACUGUUGGAUGAAGUAAGGAGCCGGACAUCAGUGUUUAUUAAACCAGAUUUAUUCUCCACAAGCUGAAGAUACCUGAGGUUACAUGAGGACUGGCAUUAAAUAAUUUAUAAAUGUAUUUUU